CCUAAGAGUUCACAUUUGGCACCUUGAUGUCGGCUAUUCGCCACCUAAGGCGGAAGUAUGUUUCAAGGAUUGGGUUGUUCGCCCAUUAAAGCGGUACAUGAGCUGGAUUCAUAAUGUCAUUUGGAGCGGUAGUAUGUUACAAGGGUUGGGUUGUUUUCCCAUUAAAAUGGUACAUGAGUUGGGUUCAGAAUGUCGCGAGACAUA
rnacentral:ncRNA from 1 species